UAGAAAACCCCCACCCAUGAUAAUCAUAUAAUAAUACAAGAUUCUGAAUGAUAUUCAUAUAUAUAAUUAGCAUAAAAAUACAUAACUUAAUACAAUACAGAUAAUACAACUGCGAUCACCUCUAUACAAAAAAAAACUAAGUACAUCUAUCGCACGAAUACUCAUACAAAUCCCCUCUGUAACCUCUGUAUAACCAUCUCUGUUGAAUCUCAUAUAUCAUCGAGCAUCUGUUUAUCUGAAAAAGGGUUAAUGCUAAGGUGAGCAUUUCCACUUGCUCAGUAGUGACUCACAUUUCCAAAAUACUAUCUAAUCAUGCAUGACGAUUAACAUACUAAACAUUUGAAAGAAUGCAAGUUUUAAUAAUUGAAAGUAAUUUUCUACCGUACCUAAUAAAUAAUAUACAAGUGUAGGUGCAAAAAUUUGAUCCACAAACUUGAGAUAUGUACUGAUUAAUCGAACAGUUACAAUGAAAGCCUUGUACAGACUGAGAUGGGAUGGGGGUAUACAAUGAGACUGGACCUGAUGAAGAUCAGGCUGCCUACGUAUCUAAGAAGAUGAACUUGGAAUCAAGUCUCUACUUCCACUAAGCUCUAAUGGAGUUGCUCAGUGUAAGACUCGUAGUUCAGGAGGUUAAGAACUCCUGUAUUUGUAGUAGACCGGAGGAGGCUGGCUCAACCACCCCUCCGGUUUUGACUCCAUGAACUCAGGUAGUUCAACUAUGAUUAUGCUUUCCGUAGAGAUAGCUUGCAUGUUGCUGAGCGGUUAUCCCUUUGGUUUGAAUUCCCUUUAACCAGGAUGACAACCACGUGGCAUCCUCUGAUAGGCUCUGGUUCAACCUGGGUCUUUCUUUAUCUUUUCCACCGGGCUAGAACAAUGGGUUAUGUUAGCCUGGAAUCUUGCUGGACUUAUCCAGUUGGUUGGGACUUGGAUUCGACCAAGUCCGGAAACAAAGACUUGGGCUUGACUCCUCUGACCGGAGGCCCAAUCUUCAUUGCAUACACCCUGGCCAGGUCCUCUGGGCUUCUAUGUUAAGCCUUUGGAUGAGCCCUUGUCGCUGCUGGACUUUACUGGGCCGGACCUGAUUUACUUGACUGAGGUCGGCUUGGUCAAUGUAUGAUGGGAGCCCACGGUUCAACUUCUUAUACAGCAAUCGGGGCUCCACCGAUUGAACAUGGACCAUCCGGUGGGUUUGAUCCACAGAGCGUAUUUGGACUCCUUGAGACCGGGUUGGGCCCUACCCAAUAACCCAGGCCUUGCUGGCUAAUGCUCAGGUGCUCCCGGUUUAGCUUCUUAUACAGCCACCGAUGAUACAUGUCGGGUUUUUUACCUAGAGUACACAUAACAAACAUUCAUACAAUAAGUCGGGUACAUGUAUCCUAUCAGAGUGCUGAGGGUACGACUGGUACUCGGCCCCAGUCCCAGGCAAUAUCUUAGUUCAGCACAUACCGGUGUGAACCUGCACCGUUAGUUCCUGAUUAUCCGGUAAGAUGAUUACCGUUUGUGUCUCGAGAACACUAACCCUUAUUUAAGGCUCAGGUGGCCCCUCUGACCACGACUCCUCGAGGGGGGAAUCACCUAUCACGGUGGUCAACCAUUUGACGACUGCAGACUGCUCAGGAUCCUGACACACGUCCAGGAGUGGACUACCUCUCACUCCCCGCGUCUAACCUCCUCGAGGUAGCAUGUAUCCCCACAACACACUAACCAUUCACAGCAAAUACCACUAAAAUGAUGGCAAUCCAGGAAGGUAGAAAAGGAAUUCCCAGAAACAUCAAACCAGUUCCGUAUUCACGACUACCAGACACGGGAACUAGCCGAAGGGAUUAUAAUCCGAUCUGUAAUAAUAUGUUCAUGUAAGCACCCAGAUCGAUCAUAUUCCCAAUUCAUAAACCUCACACCAUACCAACAUACAAUUGGGAUCCCACAUCCCAUAUACAAAAUCCAUCUCCUUUUUCCCAUCUUGGAAAAGAGAUGCGAUAAAACCUUCAAUAGUUUUUUCGUUUAUAAAACUAUUUCGAUAUACAUAUACUGCUUUAAUAACUCCAGUAUAAAACAUGACAUCUGUAACUAAUAACUUUAAUAGAAGCUAUAAUUGGUAAACCACGAAUAAUCUAUAUAUACCAAACAAAACCAUGCAUGCAUUUUUUUUUUAUCAUCAAUAAUAUAUUAAAUAAUUUACAACAUUUAAAAUAUGACACAUGAAAGGAUAGUAUAAAAGAAAUGUAAGUCCCUACCUCUUGCUCGCUAGCUUUUUACUUCCUUUUUGGUUUGAAGCACUCAAUUAGAAGUGCCGAUAGCCGACAAUUUUUAUUUCUCCGCACCAAAUGUAGCCAUUGGUUACCCACUUAAUUAAUCGAUCCACAUGCUAAACAUUUCAUUGGUCAAUUGCCGCCGAAAUCCAUAAGUUCUCUCCCCAUCUCUGAAUGGCCUCACAUCACAAUUUCAGUCACUUGACCACCCCUCAUGCAUUUGAAUUGGUUUUUCAUCCCUCUCAACCCAUGGUCUCCGUCCUUAAAUUUUGUUGACAUGUAACCAAUUGAGAAAUCUAUAUAACUUGCACCAACUGAGACAGAUCUUAGUUCAAUUAAACCCAAUCUAAAAAGUUCUUUCACAUAUGGACAGACAAAGUCUCCCAUAUCACAAGCAAAAAUAAAUAUCACCCCCAAUCCAUAUCAAACCCAAAAUAUAUACAACUCCAUGCUGCCCAUAUCACUUCAAAUAGUUAGAAGCCUCACACCAUUUCACUUGAUUCAUACUGCAAGAAUCCCACAGAUUAUUACACAUACAAGAAACGGUUUAUCUAAAUAUUACAAAGCUAACCCAUGUAUCUUGAUAAGGAAAAUCAAUUAAAAGGUAAGGAAAUCAGUUAAAGGUAUAGAGAUCCAACUUAGCUAGUUGUCAUCUUGUAGGUUUUCUUCUCUAUCUUCUAAUUAGCUACAAAGCUAUAAGGAUAAAGAACAAGGUCCUGG
rnacentral:lncRNA from 1 species